UCCGUAGGUGAACCUGCGGAGGGAUCAUUACCGAGAAAAGGCGCUCUGCGUCCGGCCUCCAACCCUUUGUUCGUCUCAACCAUGUUGCCUCGGGGGGCGACCCGGCCCUCGUGCCGGGCGACCCCGGAGGUCCAUCAAACUCUGCAUCCUUGCGUCGGAGUAUUGAAAGCAAAUCAAUCAAAACUUUUAACAACGGAUCUCUUGGCUCUGGCAUCGAUGAAGAACGCAGCGAAAUGCGAUAAGUAAUGUGAAUUGCAGAAUUCAGUGAAUCAUCGAAUCUUUGAACGCACCUUGCGCCUCUUGGCAUUCCGAAGGGCAUGCCCGUUCGAGCGUCAUGAAAUCUCAAUCCCCAUGGGUUUUUGCGAACCUGUGGUGGACUUGGGAUUGGGCGUCUUUUGCCUCCCCAGGCUCGCCUCAAAUGUAUCUGUGGGAUCUCUGUGACCCAUGCCCGACGUAAUAAGUUUCGUCAUGGCCGGUCUGCAGGGGCCUGCUUAUAACACACCAUAUCUUUUUGACAUUGACCUCAAAUCAGGUAGGGCUACCCGCUGAACUUAAGCAUAUCAAUAAGCGGAGGA
rnacentral:rRNA from 1 species